rnacentral:piRNA from 1 species
GUAGGAAAUCACAGAAAAUAAGCUC